rnacentral:rRNA from 1 species
CACGCCGUAAACGAUAAUCACUAGAUGUUGGUCUGGUUUUCCGGAUCAGUGUCGUAGCUAACGCGUUAAGUGAUUCGCCUGGGGAGUACGGUCGCAAGACUAAAACUUAAAGGAAUUGACGGGGGUCCGAACAAGCGGUGGAACAUGUGGUUUAAUUCGACACUACGCGAGAAACCUUACCUGGGUUUGACAUACUUGAGACUGCUCUAGAGAUAGGGUUUUCUGUGAGAAAUCACAGACUCAAGAACAGGUGC